rnacentral:tRNA from 1 species
GCCGACCUAGCUUAGUGGUAGAGCGCGUGGCUUUUAACCACGUGGCCGUGGUUUCAUUCCCCACGGUCGGCG